rnacentral:lncRNA from 1 species
UAACUCAAUGAUUUUUUGUUUAGCAAAAGGUAUACUUAGACCAACGCCCUAAACUCCACAGAGACACCAUCCCACAUUAAUUCUCCAGGUUGCAGCUGCAUGAUCUUGCUAAAGAAGUGCUUCUGUAGACCUGUGGAUUCCGCAGAGAAUUGUUCAUCUCCCUGUCUUUGAUGUCACUCUCCUAAUUCUUCUGUGCGCUUGAUUUUUCAAGGCUCUAUUCCAUGGACUUCAAAUCACCAACAAGGAGAACACCGUAGUUUCAACUACAACAGUUUGAUGAAUCAACCCCUUAUCCCAUCCCAUUUGCUUGAUCCAGGAAUCUGAAAAAUGUUCAUGCAUCAGAAAAGGUGGCAGGCGACGCGAGAAGAUAUGCCCUCAGGAAAUGGUAGCCGUGCAAGAUGGGUGACUGUCCAUCAGCAGCAAGCAGGAUUCCCUCUGUGGAGUGCAG